AGUGAACGCUGGCGGUAGGCCUAACACAUGCAAGUCGAACGGCAGCACAGUAAGAGCUUGCUCUUACGGGUGGCGAGUGGCGGACGGGUGAGGAAUACAUCGGAAUCUACUUUUUCGUGGGGGAUAACGUAGGGAAACUUACGCUAAUACCGCAUACGACCUACGGGUGAAAGCAGGGGAUCUUCGGACCUUGCGCGAUUGAAUGAGCCGAUGUCGGAUUAGCUAGUUGGCGGGGUAAAGGCCCACCAAGGCGACGAUCCGUAGCUGGUCUGAGAGGAUGAUCAGCCAAACGGGAACUGAGACACGGCCCAGACUCCUACGGGAGGCAGCAGUGGGAAAUAUUGGACAAGGGGCGCAAGCCUGAUCCAGCCAUACCGCGGGGGUGAAGAAGGCCUUCGGGUGGUAAAGCCCUUUUGUUGGGAAAGAAAAGCAGCAGGUUAAUACCCCGCUGUUCUGACGGUACCCAAAGAAUAAGCACCGGCUAACUUCGU
rnacentral:rRNA from 1 species